ensembl:lncRNA
GUCAGAGGUGGCACUUUGCUUCCAGCAGAGUCCAUGGAUCCUCAGAGAACUGUUUUUUACUGACUAAAGAAAUGGUAGGAUUCCUUGGUGGCUCAGACAGUAAAGAAUCUGCCUGCAAUGCAGAAGACAUGGGAGACUUAGGGUCGAUCCCUAGGUUGGGAAGAUCCCCUAGAGAAGGGAAUGGUAACCCAUUCCAGCAUUCUUGCCUGGAGAACCCCACGCACAAAGGAGCCUGUGGGUCUACAGUCCAUGAGGUCGCAAAGAGUCGGACAAGACUGACUAAGGACACAAAGAAAUGGGAAGUCAGCUUUCAAAAUGAGAAGAAACUCUAAGAAGAACAGUGAGGAUGCAAGGUUUCCCAAACUGUCUCCCUUCCCACCCGCUACCCGCCUCCUCCCCAACCCAAACACAUACUGCACCUUUCUCCAAAACUCAAAUCCAUCUUGUGUAAGCAGACUGGGAAUGUCUAACUUCAGAGGGAGAGCUAAUCCAGACUAUGGCAUCAAUUCUCCCAGCCAUGUUCAUAGAACAGGGAUUAGGGGUCUUAAAGCACAGCAGAACUGGAGCAGAUUUGGCAAAUCAUUCAUCUGUCCAGAGACAGCUUCAAGACAGGAAGUAGAACAUGGACUUUAAUUAACAACAUUUCAGAUCACCCUGGAAUGGAAAUCUUUCUAUUAGGAAAGAACAGAGGAUGUAAAUACAUGCCUACGUUGACUCAUUGGAAAAGACUCUGAUGCUGGGAG